GUGAGACUCAAAAGUAAAAGGUGGACUUGAGCCUCGAUAGAAACAGAAAAAACCCCAUAUCAUAGUAGUUUUUUCGGCCCUCUGUUUUUGUGGGGUUUUUCCUUUUUUUUCACUUUUGCUUUGUGAGCUGGGGAGGAGUUCUCAGGUGCGAAAACAAGCAAAGAUCUAACCUGGAUAACUAUACCUGCUGGAGGCGUUCACAGACGACUAAAGCCGUCUAAUGUGCAGUCCAGCAGCUUUUGAAACAACCAGCACUGAGCAUUCAUGCUACAACAGUCUGAAGAGGAAAGCCCAGCUUAUAAGAUGAAGUUGAUAUCCGCCGUUGCAUGUUAUCUCCAAUGAGGGUUUUAGACUUUGCUGAGCCA
ensembl:lncRNA